AUAAAACAUAUGGACGAUUUUACUUAAUAAUUUGGAUGCAGGUGGGAGAAAUAUGAUGCUAAAGGCUGGACCGAGAAAGGAGCACACAAAUAUGGUAGACUUAAUGAGCAGUCCUGGUGGGAGAAGUGGGGAGAGCAUUAUGAUGGAAGGGGAUCUGUUCUCAAAUGGACUGAUAAAUGGGCUGAGACUGAACUUGGAACCAAAUGGGGAGACAAGUGGGAAGAGAAGUUCUUUGCUCGAAUAGGUUCGCGACAAGGGGAGACAUGGCAUGUAUCUCCAAGCGGUGAACGUUGGUCAAGGACAUGGGGAGAAGAGCACUUUGUAAAUGGUAAGGUGCACAAAUAUGGGAAAAGCACGACUGGGGAAAGCUGGGAUAUUGUUGUGGACGAGGAGACCUAUUACGAGGCUGAGCCGCAUUACGGAUGAGCAGAUGUUGUUGGUGACUCUAGCCAAUUGCUGUCAAUUAAACCUCGAGAAAGGCCACCUGGUGUCUACCCUGCCCUUGAUUUUGGAUCAUUGUCGCCUCCGGUUGAUGAACCGCCAGAUGAAUUUUCUCCACAAUGAAAGGUUAGGUGGUCUAGUUUAGAAUGUGGAUCGAAGUCCAAUUAUUUUGGCUGAAACUCGUCUUUUGUAACGGACAUUUUAGUCUUCAUUUUAUUCAUUCUUUCAGUCGCCACUA